AUUGAACGCUGGCGGCAGGCCUAACACAUGCAAGUCGAACGGUAACAGGAAGCAGCUUGCUGCUUUGCUGACGAGUGGCGGACGGGUGAGUAAUGUCUGGGAAACUGCCCGAUGGAGGGGGAUAACUACUGGAAACGGUAGCUAAUACCGCAUAACGUCGCGAGACCAAAGAGGGGGACCUUAGGGCCUCUUGCCAUCGGAUGUGCCCAGAUGGGGUUAGCUAGUAGGUGGGGUAACGGCUCACCUAGGCGACGAUCCCUAGCUGGUCUGAGAGGAUGACCAGCCACACUGGAACUGAGACACGGUCCAGACUCCUACGGGAGGCAGCAGUGGGGAAUAUUGCACAAUGGGCGCAAGCCUGAUGCAGCCAUGCCGCGUGUAUGAAGAAGGCCUUCGGGUUGUAAAGUACUUUCAGCGGGGAGGAAGGGAGUAAAGUUAAUACCUUUGCUCAUUGACGUUACCCGCAGAAGAAGCACCGGCUAACUCCGUG
rnacentral:rRNA from 1 species